GCGCUUCACUCUACUGCCUGCGGACCGGCCCAAGUCGUAUCCUGAAAUCUUACUGGGCUGUCCCUUCCUACUUCAGUAACUCCUGCGAAAGAGGGAAACAAAGUUUUAUUUUUACUUGAAGGUUCCAUUUUUAAAAGGUUGUUUUUGUAAGCUGCUAGGAUCUGAGCUGCGCGUACCCCCGCGGUAGCUCGCCCGCGUGGGCUGGGGACG
rnacentral:lncRNA from 1 species